UACGAAGGGUCCAAGCGUUAUCCGGAUUUAUUGGGUUUAAAGGGUGCGUAGGCGGGUUAUUAAGUCAGUGGUGAAGUCUUGCAGCUUAACUGUAAAAUUGCCAUUGAUACUGAUGAUCUUGAGUACGUUUGAAGUGGGCGGAAUAUGUCAUGUAGAGGUGAAAUUCUUAGAGAUGACAUAGAACACCGAUUGCGAAGGCAGCUCACUAAACUGUAACUGACGCUGAGGCACGAAAGCGUGGGGAUCAAACAGG
rnacentral:rRNA from 1 species